GCACUUUUUCGGCAGUGCAUAUACUAAAAUUGGAGAUACAGAGAAGAUUAGCAUGGCACCUGCGCAAGGAUGACACAGAAGUCGUCACUGAUUGCUAUAAAUCAU